rnacentral:rRNA from 1 species
AUUGAACGCUGGCGGAAUGCUUUACACAUGCAAGUCGAACGGUAACAGGGUGCUUGCACCGCUGACGAGUGGCGAACGGGUGAGUAAUGCGUCGGAACGUGCCGAGUAGUGGGGGAUAACGCAGCGAAAGUUGUGCUAAUACCGCAUACGUACUGAGGUAGAAAGUGGGGGACCUUCGGGCCUCACGCUAUUCGAGCGGCCGACGUCUGAUUAGCUAGUAGGUGAGGUAAAGGCUCACCUAGGCGACGACCAGUAGCGGGUCUGAGAGGAUGGUCCGCCACACUGGGACUGAGACACGGCCCAGACUCCUACGGGAGGCAGCAGUGGGGAAUUUUGGACAAUGGGCGAAAGCCUGAUCCAGCCAUGCCGCGUGUCUGAAGAAGGCCUUCGGGUUGUAAAGGACUUUUGUCAGGGAGGAAAUCCCUAGUGCUAAUAACACUGGGGGAUGACAGUACCUGAAGAAUAAGCACCGGCUAACUACGUGCCAGCAGCCGCAGUAA